GGACCUCACUGCUAUCGGGGUGAGACUAAGCCAUGCAAGUCUAGGCCCAUAGCCAUCUGUGGGCCUGGCGUACGGCUCAGUAACACGUGGCCAACCUGCCCCGAGGAGGCGGAUAACCCCGGGAAACUGGGGUAUAAACCGCCAUAGGUGAGGGGUUCUGGAACGACCCUUCGCUGAAAGACGUGUGCGGGGAUGCCUGUGCACGUGCCUCGGGAUGGGGCUGCGGCCCAUCAGGUAGUUGGUGGGGUAACGGCCCACCAAGCCUAUAACGGGUACGGGCCCUGAGAGGGGGAGCCCGGAGAUGGACUCUGAGACAAGAGUCCAGGCCCUACGGGGCGCAGCAGGCGCGAAAACUCCGCAAUGCGCUCACGCGUGACGGGGUUACCCCGAGUGCCACCCUCGUGGUGGCUUUUGCGCGGUCUAAAAAGCCGCGCGAAUAAGCGGGGGGCAAGACGGGUGUCAGCCGCCGCGGUAAUACCCGCUCCGCGAGUGGUGAGGACUAUUACUGGGCUUAAAGCGUCCGUAGCCGGCCCGGCGUGCUCCGCGUUAAACCCAGCAGCCUAACUGCUGGGCUGCGCGGAUGACUGCCGGGCUUGGGGGUGGGAGAGGGCGGCGGUAUUCCCGGGGUAGGGGUAAAAUCCACUGAU
rnacentral:rRNA from 1 species